GAGAUGUUGGGUUAAGUCCCGCAACGAGCGCAACCCUUGUGUCCUGUUGCCACCCGAGCUUCGGCUCGGAGCACUCUGGACAGACUGCCUCGCUUAAACGAGGAGGAAGGUGGGGAUGACGUCAAGUCAGUAUGGCCCUUACGGCCAGGGCUGCACACGUACUACAAUGCCUAAUACAAUGGGACGCAAUACCGUGAGGUGGAGCAAAUCCUUAAAAUUGGGCCCAGUUCGGAUUGUAGUCUGCAACUCGACUACAUGAAGCCGGAAUCGCUAGUAAUGGGGCAUCAGCUACGGCCCCGUGAAUACGUUCCCGGGCCUUGUACACACCGCCCGUCACAUCAUGAAAGCCGGUUGUACCCGAAGUCGCUGAGCUAACCCGCAAGGGAGGCAGGUGCCGAAGGUAUGGCUGGUGAUUGGGAUGAAGUCGUAACAAGGUAGCCGUAGGGGAACCUGCGGCUGGAUCACCUCCUU
rnacentral:rRNA from 1 species